UACGUAGGUGGCAAGCGUUGUCCGGAUUUACUGGGCGUAAAGAGCGCGCAGGCGGUCGUUCAAGUCGAGUGUGAAAGCCCCCGGCUCAACUGGGGAGGGUCACUCGAUACUGAUCGACUCGAAGGCAGGAGAGGGUAGUGGAAUUCCCGGUGUAGUGGUGAAAUGCGUAGAGAUCAGGAAGAACAUCGGUGGCGAAGGCGCUCUGCUGGACCAUAACUGACACUCAGGGACGAAAGCUAGGGGAGCGAAUGGG
rnacentral:rRNA from 1 species